rnacentral:rRNA from 1 species
GACGAACGCUGGCGGCGUGCUUAACACAUGCAAGUCGAACGGAAAGGCCCUGCUUUUGUGGGGUGCUCGAGUGGCGAACGGGUGAGUAACACGUGAGUAACCUGCCCUUGACUUUGGGAUAACUUCAGGAAACUGGGGCUAAUACCGGAUAGGAGCUCCUGCUGCAUGGUGGGGGUUGGAAAGUUUCGGCGGUUGGGGAUGGACUCGCGGCUUAUCAGCUUGUUGGUGGGGUAGUGGCUUACCAAGGCUUUGACGGGUAGCCGGCCUGAGAGGGUGACCGGCCACAUUGGGACUGAGAUACGGCCCAGACUCCUACGGGAGGCAGCAGUGGGGAAUAUUGCACAAUGGGCGGAAGCCUGAUGCAGCAACGCCGCGUGCGGGAUGACGGCCUUCGGGUUGUAAACCGCUUUUGCCUGUGAUGAAGCGUGAGUGACGGUAAUGGGUAAAGAAGCACCGGCUAACUACGUG